UACGUAGGGGGCUAGCGUUGUCCGGAAUCAUUGGGCGUAAAGAGCGUGUAGGCGGCUCGAUAAGUCCGCUGUGAAAAGUCCAGGGCUCAACCCUGGGAUGCCGGUGGAUACUGUCGGGCUCGAGUCCGGAAGAGGCGAGUGGAAUUCCUGGUGUAGCGGUGAAAUGACGCAGAUAUCAGGAGGAACACCGGUGGCGAAGGCGGGUCUCUGGGCAACAACUGACGCUGAGGAGCGAAAGCGUGGGGAGCGAACAGG
rnacentral:rRNA from 1 species